GAUGAACGCUGGCGGCGUGCUUAACACAUGCAAGUCGAACGGACUUUAUUUGAAGCCUAGCGAAAAUAAAGUUAGUGGCGGACGGGUGAGUAACGCGUGGGUAACCUGCCUCAUGCAGGGGGAUAACAGUUAGAAAUGACUGCUAAUACCGCAUAAGCGCACAGUACCGCAUGGUACAGUGUGAAAAGAUUUAUCGGCAAAGGAUGGGCCUGCGUCUGAUUAGCUAGUUGGUGGGUAACGGCCUACCAAGGCGACGAUCAGUAGCCGACCUGAGAGGGUGAUCGGCCACAUUGGAACUGAGACACGGUCCAAACUCCUACGGGAGGCAGCAGUGGGGAAUAUUGCACAAUGGGCGCAAGCCUGAUGCAGCAACGCCGCGUGAGGGAAGACGGUUUUCGGAUUGUAAACCUCUGUCUUUGGUGACGAAGAAGUGACGGUAGCCAAGGAGGAAGCCACGGCUAACUACGUG
rnacentral:rRNA from 1 species